GACGAACGCUGGCGGCGUGCUUAACACAUGCAAGUCGAACGAGUGGCGAACGGGUGAGUAAUACGUGGGUAACCUGCCCUCUUUUUGGGAUCAGCCUUGGAAACGGGGUCUAAUACCGAAUAAAGGGGGCUGGGUUCGCGGCCUAUCAGCUUGUUGGUGGGGUGAUGGACUACCAAGGCGGUGACGGGUAGCCGGACUGAGAGGGUGAACGGACAGAUUGGGAGUGGGAGACGGCCAAGACGCCUACGGGUGGCAGCAGUGGGGGAGAUGGCACAAGGGGCGAAAGCCGGAUGCAGCGACGCCGCGUGGGGGAUGAAGGCUUUCGGGUUGUAAACCUCUUUCGCGAGCGAACGGGUAGUUGGAGAAGAAGCGCCGGCUAACUACGUGCCAGCAGCCGCGGUAAUUC
rnacentral:rRNA from 1 species